GGGGGUGAGACUAUUGUCCAUAGUCGUCAGUGGGUACAGCCACCCAAGUGAAAAGCUCGACUGAUAGGUCCAAGGAGGCACUGCAAUCAUGUUAGUCCAAAAACAUCUACAGAUAUAUAUAUCAUCAUGUAAUUAUGCAACUAACAGAUAACAUGCCUCACGAAUAUGCAAUAUGCAAAUCAUGCAACUCAUGAAAGUAGAUUAUUGAUUCUACUCUUUAUUCUUAACCAUUUUUACUCUUAGCCAAUCUUUAUUGUUAUUCAUUCUUUACAUUAUUAGCUAUCUUUAGCAUGUGCCAUUCUCUAACAUUAGCCGUUCUUUAUUCUCUAGUCUUUACUCUUUAUUCUUUAUUCUUUAUUCUUUACUAAGGGUAGUCACACCUUAGCCAUAUUAGUCUCAUUUGCCAUUCUUUCUUAUGGUUACAUUACCUUAGCCAACUAUGCCACUCGACUCGGUCUUGAGUCAAUCAACUGCGGAUAGUCCGCGCUCUGUCAGGCUCGAGGUGAAGGAACUAUCACAUGCACCUCAGCCUUAAAUCCUCUCGACUGUAGGUCUGCCAGGAGUGAGGAAUGCCAUCAACCCCGGACCACAAGUCUCUCGAGCUCUAGCUCAUGGCAUACGGGCGAGGAGAACCAAUACCCGUUGAAUCACUGUCGGGCGAGGAGAACCAACAUACCCACAGUUAUGAUUCUCAUUAGCCAUCUCUUUUACCGGGCGAGGGAGAACAACAUACCCGUUGAAUCACUGUCGGGCGAGGAGAACCAACAUACCAACAGUUAUGAUUCACUUGCGCUCGGUCGCAAGCCUUAUCCGCUGCACUAGCACCCUUCAUUCCUAGGGAUUCCGGAAUCCACAUUCACAUCUCUAGGGUUGGUCUCACCCUAUAGUAUCGACCUAUCUAGGUCCAAGCCUUAACUCAACCUAAGUUAAUACUUUAGGUUCGUUGCUUCAUACUCAUAGUCUAGGUUGUUAACACUAGAUCCAUUAUUCUUUUCUACCUAGUUUCACUUGACUCUAGGUUCUUUACCUUUAUUUCACAACCUAUGUCUCCUAACAUUAGGUUUAUGCUUUUCUCGUUAACCUAUGUUCAUUGACACUAGUUCACUAUCACUCUUGUUCAACCUAUGUCCUUGACGCUAGGUUCGUUGUCAUUCUUGUUCAACCUAUGUUUAUUAACACUAGGUUCAAUGCCACUCGAUCUAUGUGUAUAUAUAUAUAUAUAUGUCCAUAUGCACAUGUCAUAUACUUAACAUCUUUACAUUAGGAUCUCCACAACAUGCUUAUAUACUUUCUCUUUAGCAUUCUUAUUUCAUAUCCAUAUGCAUUCUUAGCAUUCUCGCACUAUGACCAUAUGCAUUGUUGGGUAGCCCACAUCAUAUCCUUUUCAUGCAUUAUAUACAUUCUAUCAUUAGCUACCAUUACAUGCAUCAACAUGAAACCAUCACUCUUAGACAUAGAGGCGACCUAGUCGCUUCGGUAAACACAACCCACCUUAAAUUGCUCUCCGAUUGCUUGUAGUCACUUGCAAUCGGCCUCCCGCGGCACCCGUGACCCGGUUUGGCCCGAACUCUUGCGCGACCACCCGAACGGCCACCAAUUCGCGAUCCGUCUGUUCGGGAGUUUAUUCCCCGACAUCGCGAUGCCCCCGAUCCAUUUUCAUGAUUUUUGGAGGCUUAUCCCGCGUGCUGCGGCUAUCUGUACCAAAACAGAUUGUUUCGUCAAUAACUUCGCGUACACUCGUCGGAUUGUCGAACCGAAGCGCACAACGCGUUCGUUAUACCCCCAAUUAGGUUUGUAUAGGGUCAAUUGAGAUCAAAACCCCUCACAAGUAAAAGCCCUCUUUUUGGAGCCCUAGAUGCAAUUAUAGCAAAAUACUCCAAUUCAUCUCAUGAAUCAAGCAUAAACCAUCUAUUUAGCAUGCUAAGAUUCCAUUAAAUCAUCUUUAGAGUAUAAGAACUUAACCCUAAAGAUCUACGCGUACCAUUAAAGCUCCAAGAAGCUUACCUCAAGAAGCUUGCUCCAAGGUGAAGAAGAAGAUGAUGGAGGGAAGCUCCCCACUUGCUUCACCUUCUUUUCCUUUUCUUCUUCUUCUUUCUCUUCUUCUUCUUCUCUUCUCCUUUCCUUUCUAGAGAGAGAGAGGGAGAGUUUUGGGGGUGAAAUGAUAAGGGAAAGAGAGAAAGAGAGGUUCUAAUCCUCUCUAUACACUCAACUCAUGCACAAAAUGCCAACAAGUCCCUCAACAAUCCUCUUCUUGCUUCAGCCCAAACUGGGCAUUUUCGGGGUUCUGAGACCGGUCCUUGCGGUGAGAGACCGGUCCCCGAAAGGCCAGAAUUCCAGACUUAGCCAAUUUUUCAGCAUUUUCAGCCUUUAUCCUUUUUCACUCCGUUUUCGCUCGUUUUCGCUCGUUUGACCUCCGUUUCUUUUCAAAUCGAACCGAGACUCUCCAAACAUGUUUUCAAACAUGUUUUCAUCAUCUUUUCAUCCACGCUAAUGCCGGAUUUAGUCCAUGGUCCAACAUAGCCUUUCGGGUCCCGUUUUCGCGCCCUAUGCGCACCGAAGCACCCGAAUGCUUCCGAACUUCGCCGGAAUGAUUCCAAUGGCUUUCUAAGCUAACUUACAUCGUAACUUCGUGAAUUUAGAAGUUCGGUAUAUUACAUUCUCCACCCCUUAAAAGAAUUUCGUCCGCGAAAUUCAAACCACAACUCGAUUCAGCUCCUAGAGCAAUUGAGGGCACCAAUGCACUUUUCCACUUCGGAAUGGCUUUACACUCCUUGGAACUAUCCAAGAGAGCUACCACGGAGGGUACAAUACCAAACUCACACAACUUUGUAAGGUGCAUCCCACAAGGUGCAUUACGGUAUUCACAAUUCUUGGUGACAGCGCAAGUCGAAAUUCAACGACUACACAUGCUCCAACCCCACUUGUCAUCCGGCAUGCAAGAACUCUUCUUUGCAUUUACUUUCCCCUCAGGGAAUACAUUCCGAUUCUAUCUCCAACAUUGCUUAAAAGCAACAUCACUAAUGCAUCGCUUCCUCGCGAGUGCUCUAAUUCCGCACCGAUCUUCAGCUCUAACAUGAGAUGGCCCACCUCGGCACAUCCCAAAUCCAAUCCUCAACUCCACAUGGCUUCUCACAAGCUCAAGGUCUCACCACGAGCACUUCAUCUUCCGAUACCAUAUGCCACGGCCAACGUCUUAUCACUUUCGUAAAGAGCUCACAUGAACACGUCGUUCAUGAACUCAAGUCAAACUCCCCGAUAAUGCUACUCGCCAAAUCACUUUCCUCGACUUUUCACAGGUGAGCCAAAGGCCACCCAUACUACAUAGGCCUACAGCCUAAACCCGUCUCAAUACUCGACGUCCCUCGCUCGCAAGCGUAGACCCAAUCAUCGUUGGGGCGAAAUUCUCACUGGGGAAUUCGCACACACUCCAACCAGGAGCAACUAAAAUCCCAAACCGUUACAGAUUCCCGGGUUGGGUCACAAUCGCACUCCACGAGUAACCAUGCUCGAGCGCUCUACACGCCUCUAUAGUAUUCCAACUACACCAUGCAUCAGGCAACUUUGCCUAUGCACACCGGCCACACGAGCCCGGCUCACCCACCUCAAUUCGAGGUACUACUCGGCCAACGCACUCGUAUUUGGCAACAAACCGUCCUAUCGAAGCAACAUCUGGAAUACUCGAACCAUUCGAGUGUCCACAAGUGUCACGACACAACUCUUGCAAUCAAUUACAUACAUUGCUCUGCGAGUUGGUUCGUCACUUCCAUCUCUACUGCGAGUCUCAUCAUUAGAUCGUCGCUAGCAACUCGCUAGUGCCAUCUAGUUCUCUACCUGCACCGGCAAGUGCUACGCUUUCACAACACAAGCAUGCCCGGAUACUUACACUUACCCGUCCGCUUUCACAACACUACCUGGACUGGGCAGAAUUCGGGCUCGGGGACCGGUCUCCCCGACCUGGGACCGGUUCCCGUAGCUCCCCCUGCGGGCAGCCAAGGCCCCUGCGCAAUGCAACCGGUCUCUCCCAGAGGGACCGGUCUCUCGGGGACCGGUCUCUCCCACAGGGACCGGUUCCCGAGAGCCUGUUUUCUGGGACUUAGCCAAUUUUUCUCCUCUGCUGGGCUUCUCACGCGUUCGGGGACCGGUCUCUCAAGCAGGGACCGGUCCCCGAGAGCCCAAAAACUGCAGUUUGCAGAUUUUGAUUCCUUAGCUCUCGAAAACCUCCCACAAUGCACUUUUACUCAUUCUAAUUCCUUCGAUCUUUCCGAAGCAUAGUAACCUUGCACUUUGGUCAAUUUGACUGAGGUUCGACAUUUAUUUCCCGAAUUUUUCGGCAUAUUACAUUCUUGGUCCUUACUAUACCACUAUAUAGAUAGUAGUAAUUAACUAUAUGCUCAAUGCAUGCAAUGCUCCAACUUUGCACCAUGCCGAAACACAUAACUGCAUUAAUAACUCAUACCUGCCACGACGUUGUCAGCAGCAGGUCCCACAUCCUGGGUCGCAUAUCCAUGGCCACUUGCCUCCCGCCGCGAACCCCUCGGUUGCCUUAUCCUCACUUGCUCUCCAGACCGUGCCGCAGGUGGCACACCCGCAGGUUGUCCUGGAGAGGAACAAGCCGCCGCCAAUGUCAAGGCCCGGCUAUCGUUUUGCGAACAUUCAAAAUUCGAGUGACCCGGUUGUCCACACCGAGUACACCUUCCUUCCCGCUGCACGCAACGUCGUGCCCAAUGGGAACCACCACAAAUCACGCAUCCUGGGGAGGAUCGGGUAGAGGACGACUUUGAGUGUUGCCUUGAACUCGGCUGCCCACUCGAACUAUUUGACAACGGUCCCACCGCUCCCCGUUCACGUUCACCAGGCUCGUGCUUCUCACGCACGAAUGCCUUACCAUGCUCUGCCCACAACGACCGGUCCAAUACCUCCGCAAAGGUUGUGAGCCUAAGGAUUUGCACCUUCUCGUAAAUAUCUGGUCGAAGUCCACGCAGGAACCAAUCGGCCAUAUCCUCAUCAUCCCGUACCACAUCCGGGAUGCAAUUCACGAUACGGGAGAAUUCCCGUUCGUAUUCCCUAACCGAGCGGUCUCCUUGCCGCAGCUUCCUGAACUUGUCCUGAAGCUUUCUCUUUUCACUAUCGGGGAAGUAUGUAGAAAAUAACAAUCCCCGAAACUCUUCCCAAGUCAUGGGAGGAAGACUAGGCGAUCGAUUGCGCCGAAUGCCUUUCCACCACACCUUCGCCGAUUGCUUCAAGCAAUGCACAGCUAGGGGCACCUUGUCCCGCUCCAAUGUGUACAGCUCCUCGAAGAGCGUCUCCAUGGAGUCAAUCCACAUAUCCACAAUCCAGGGAUCGACAUUCUCUCCAUCGAAGGUAGGCGGAUCAAACUUUACGAAGGUCAUGAGGGCCGCCAAAGCCCGCUCUUUCUCCGCCUCCACUAAUACACUUUCGGGAGUCGGAUCGCCCGACCCCGACGGAAACAUCUCCGCCGCAAGCCCCGCCCGUCCUCGACGAGCCACAACUGGCGCAGCCACCAGCUGCUCCACAGUCUCCUGGAGCCUCUUGACCCGUUCUUCCUGGCGCAUAGCAGCCUCCUGCUGCCGCUGCACCACAUCAGCUUGUUGCCUCACCACACCCACAAGUGUGGCCAACUGUUCGCGAAGUUCCGUGUCUCCACUCACUCCAGAUUGCUCAGGGACAUCACUUGUCCCAUCCCGCGUCGAUCUAGCCGAAGAUCGCCUACGCGGUGCCAUCGUUCCCUGAAACAUGACAACUCGAUUAAUUCUCAACCUUCUAGGUCGAGCACGAAACAUUUAACAUUAACUCAAAUCGGGCGAAAGUCAUACAGGGGCAUCUAUUCUCAUCACUCGGUUUCAUGUUGUACGCGUCCAACAUGAACACACUUGUCUGAGAAUAAAUCACACCUUGGAUCUACCUCUAACAUCCAUUAUAGAGGUUUAUCACAUAACCCAAUCCAUUAUCCUUUCGCCACAAGUCACAAGUCCUCGUCUCUCACGAGCCUUAAUCUCCUAUGGUUUACUAUCCUAGGGUCUCCUAGGUUCAUCUAAACCACUUUCCCAUUCUCUACUUUAUGCUCUGAUACCAUCUUACCUGUCACGCCCCGAGCCCGCCUCUUUGGUCGGAUUCGGGCACGCCAACAGACCGCCGAACGGACGGGGUUUCCCCUGCAUGCGGACAGAGUCUCCCCUGUACGUUCAAGGCGUCGCAAUCAAUACAAUUACAAGAGGUUCCAAACAGGAACAAUUUUCAACAACGAUUGCAUAAGAAAGGUAUCAAACAACAUAACACAUCCUAUAUUAUUACAAUCAUUCAUAUCAUCAUUUUACAUCGCAUUUUUCAUUACAUUGAUUCUCAACUUCCAAAUAUACAAUCGAUUUCUAAACAUAAUAUUACAACAUCGAUUCUUUUCUUUUCUUUUCUUAUACCCCUAAGAAGCCGACUUAGGGUGCUGCUAUCUGGUCUCUGUGGUAGGGCGCUAACUACGGAGCUACGCCCUUUCCUCGCGCCGCCGCGCCGCUCGCGUGUGAACCUGUACCCCCAAAAACAACAACACGGGAGUGAGACUAUUGUCCAUAGUCGUCAGUGGGUACAGCCACCCAAGUGAAAAGCUCGACUGAUAGGUCCAAGGAGGCACUGCAAUCAUGUUAGUCCAAAAACAUCUACAGAUAUAUAUAUCAUCAUGUAAUUAUGCAACUAACAGAUAACAUGCCUCACGAAUAUGCAAUAUGCAAAUCAUGCAACUCAUGAAAGUAGAUUAUUGAUUCUACUCUUUAUUCUUAACCAUUCUUUACUCUUAGCCAAUCUUUAUUGUUAAUCAUUCUUUACAUUAUUAGCUAUUCUUUAGCAUGUGCCAUUCUCUAACAUUAGCCGUUCUUUAUUCUCUAGUCUUUACUCUUUAUUCUUUAUUCUUUAUUCUUUACU
rnacentral:lncRNA from 1 species